CCAAGGACUUCAGACAGGCUGAGUACCAGUGAAAGGGCCUCACGAAAGGGUCUGGACCAUUCUCCAGUCCCAGGUAACCUCCCCAACACAGAAAUGCAGACUGCCUACAAAAUAAAAAGCCUGUGUCCACAGAAGCAGAACAGGCCAACAACGGGUGGCAAAAGGCAGCAGCUGAAAGUUCGCUCUGGGACCUGUCCCUCACCCGGGCUAGCCAAAGGGUGCCUGCACAGGAUGAAAUGAACUCUUCGAUGCGAAAGAGAAUAUGGGUCUCCUCCGCUGUUGAAUUUUCAUGGAACACCCCUUGUCCUUAAAUUGGGGAGGGCAGAGCAACAGAGAAAGGUAUUCACCGAAAGGUCCGAUGGAGGCCCAUGUUACCUGUGCUUCCUAACCCACUUCUUUUAGGACAGACAACGUCUAGAACACUGCUGGACUGGAAAUAAGAAUACGCUGCAUUGGGGCACCUGAGUGGCUCAGUCAGUUGGGUGUCUGA